CGACUCCAGAGCGGAUAGAGAUGCCACGGUGUGUAUUUUCAGUUAAACUCAGGACGCCAUUGAAAGCAGUCACUUGUUUGUUUAAUGGGCCCCUGAGGCUAAAAGAGCACUAUUUCCAGACUUUAUACCAAAAAUAAAUUUAUUUGGCUAAAGGCAGAUACACAGAAGUAGACAGCACUAAACUUCAGAGCAAAUCAGGACAUGGAGGUCUUGUCUGAUAACCACGAAUUGGCCCAUUUGGAUAAAUAAAAGUCUCCUUUAUGUGCCAUUUUGCAAAAACAUGCUUUUCUGUUUUGAGAGAACCAUGAUUGAUUAUGUACAUGUGUACGGAUCUAGUUGCAACUAAUUUCCGUACAGUAUCUAUUAGCUGUGUCUUGAGUUGUGUAAUCCAUCACUGUGGACAUCAAGUCUGCAUUUAUUUGUGACACAUUAUUGUCGGGAGAUAUCAUAGUGCAGCGCUUUGACCGUACAUUACCUUGCAAACAUAAUGUGUAAUUUAAUACAGACUCAUGACUCGUUUUUGAUUCAUUUCUACUGGAUCUCACACCGUACAGAAUAGAAUUGAAACAAAGAGCUGCCUAGAAAAACACAUCUAAAACUGAAUAGCAUGCAUUCAAAUGUAUAGCCUACAUGAUUUGUAGUUAUGAACCUGAAGUAGCAAAAAAACAAAACACUGAUAUGGGCCUUUAAGUUGUAGGGGGGUUGGGGUGGUGAGCAUCUUUAAGUGUCUUAUUUAUAGCCUAAUAACUCUUUGUCUAUUGCCCUAUCUAUUCCUUCUAAUAUUUCAAGAUCUACAGCAGUGUUUCCCAAACCAUGUAGCUUGUGACUGUUUAAAAUUAGUUAGUUAAAGGUCCAGUGUGUAAUAUUUCUGAUGCUCUGUUGACAGAAAUGCAAUAUAUAUCCAUAACUAUGUUUUCAGUGGUGUAUAAACCCCUUACAAAAUGAACCAUUAUAUUUUUAUUACCUUAGAAUGAGACAUUUAUAUCUACAUAACCGCGGGCACCCCCUGCUGUGGAGGUCUGUCACGAGGCCCCGGCUGUGAGCCUGUGAUUGUUGUGGAAGUCUGUCUGGUGUGCGUGUGGUGAGCGUGUCGUUUGUUUGUCUCUGCUUGGCUCUUCUUCUCUCUCUCUCCAGUCUGGGAGCUGGGGGCGUGUCUGCUGCGGGCUCCGCACUCACCUGAGUCCCAUCUGCAAUUAGCACACCUGACCUGCACUCCUCAAUCACCGCUGCUUAAAGGAGAGGCUCAGACAUCCAGUCCCUGCCGGAUUGUUUGAUCUCCGCACAAGACUCCCACUGCCUCAGCAACCACCUGCCUGUUGGCCUCGGUUCCGCCCACAGCCUGGACACUUCCCAGCUCACGGAUUUCCCUACACCCCGGACCUGGAGAGAGCCCUAGCCCUGAGAUCUCAGACUUCCCUUGCUGAUUUUCUUUGAAUAAACUGUCUAACUCAGAUCCGUGUUUGGGUCUUCUCUGCCUGGCAGACCCAGCGGAUCUCAGAAACCUUAGUCAGGCCAUAACUCAUCAGGAAGGAGUUCUCGGUCAACAAGCUAGAGCUUUAAGAGAGGUUACUGAUGUUCUCUGCGGCCUCACCACCUCCGUCACCGCUCUCCAGCAACAGCUUCUUUCCCCUACUGCCGAAGCCUCCGCGAGCCCCGCAUCUCUCCCUGCUGCAACCGCCACUCCCAACCAACCCGACCGGGAACCUUGGGUCCCCGCACCAGAAAGGUACGAUGGGAAUCUGGGUCAGUGACGUGCCUUUUUGCUUCAGUGUGAUCUCGUUUUUCCUCGGCAGUCCAGGACCUACUCCACAGAAGCAUCUAAGAUCACCUACCUGAUCGGGCUUCUCCGGGGCGAGUGGGCAACUGCUGCAUGGGGGAGACGCUCGGCAAUCAGACACUUAUGUCACCUUCACGAACGAGAUGCGGAAGGUUUUCGACCACCCAGUGAGAGGUAAUCAGGCAUCCCAGAGACUGCUACACCUGCGCCGGGGAGCCGCAGCGUGGCGGAAUAUGCUGUCGAAUUCCGGACCCUGGCUAUGGAAAGUGGCUGGAAUGAGGCUUUAACUUCUGUUUUCGCCAAUGGUCUGACAGAACAGUUAAAGGAUGAACUUGUUUCCUAUCCUGAGUUCUAAUCUAGAUGAGCUGAUUUCCCUGUCUAUUAGCAUAGAUAAUCGCUGCUGGGAGCAUAGGGGAGAGAGACGGCUAACUGAGACCACUAACAGCCCUCGAUCCCGAGCCCCACACCACUCUAGGACAGUAAGCUCAUUCUCACCACCUCAGCCAGUAACAUCUGUCCGCCCAUCACAGGGAAACGACCGCAGAGAACUCUCUCCGGAGAUGGAGCCCAUGCAACUGGGCCGUUCCCAGCUGAGCCCCGAAGAGCGCCAGCAUCGUCGUAAAACCAACUGCUGCCUGUAUUGCAGCCAGCCCGGACAUCACCUGGCCACCUGCUCCAAGAGACCGUCAAAUGGGUGGGCUCGCUAGAGCUAGGGCGCGCCCUAGCGAGCCGAACAACCGCUCCAUCAUCCCCUCGCCGACGCACUUACCUUCAGGACACCAUCUCUCACGAAGGUCAGUCAAACGCUUUGCAAGCAUUUGUUGAUUCAGGAGCUGAUAGCUUUCUGGACGGAACGGUCACCAAACACUCGGGCCUAACCACCAUUCCCCUCCAAGAACCCCUGGUGGUUAAUGCCCUAGAUGGCAGACCUUUGGACGGGUAACCUCCAGAACCUCUCCUCUGCAGCUCCAGCUCUCCAGUAACCAUCAUGAGCAGAUUAGCCUGUACAUCAUUGACUUCCCUCACACUCUGCUGAUUCUUGGGUACCCCUGGUUAGUUAAACACAACCCCAUUAUUGAUUGGUCCACUGCCAAGGUCACUAGCUGGAGUUCCACCUGCCACUCAGAGUGUCUUAGGUCAGCCUCACCGCAGCCAGUCCCUGCCCCUAGCCCCUCUGCCAUUACUCCUGACUUGGCUCACAUUCCUCCGGUUUACCACGAUCUCAGAGAUGUGUUCAGCAAACAAGCCCUGUCCUUGCCCCUCCACCGCCCCUUUGACUACCAGGAAACGGCUCCAGAGGUUCCUUGGGUUUGCUAACUUACCGAAGAUUUAUCCAGAACUAUAGCCAUGUGGCUGCGCCUCUAACCUCUCACUUCCUCCAGCAGACCUUUCUCCUGGACCCCAGAGGCCAGUGCCUUUGUGGAGCUCAAGUCCCGUUUCUCCUCAGCCCCCAUCCUGGUCCAACCUGACCCAUCUCGGCAUCUGACGCCUCGGACGUUGGGUUGGGAGCGGUUCUCUCCCAGCAUUCUGCUGAGGACGGCAAGCUCCACCCCUGUGCCUUCCUCUCCCGCCGCUUCUUCCCCUCGGAACACAACUACGAUGUUGGUAAUAGGGAGCUGCUGGCAGUGAAGUCAGCCCUGGAAGAGUGGCGCCACUGGCUGGAGGGGGGCCGAACAUCCAUUUGUCUGGACCGAUCACAAGAACCUUGAGUACAUCAGAUCUGCCAGACAACUAAACUCUCGUCAGGACAGGUGGGCGCUGUUUUUUGGACGCUUUAACUUUUCUCUAACUUACAGACCCGGCUCCCGAAACACCAAACCGACACCCUUUCCAGAGCCUUUAAAGGGGAAGGACAGUGCGACUCCAGUCUUGGACACCAUCUUGCCUGACUCGUGCAUCACUGGAGCUGUCUCUUGGAGCAUCGAAAGAGAGGCUCUCCGUGAAGACCCUGGCCCCAGUAAGGCUCCACCCGGCACCUUAUUUGUUGCAUCUGGUUAACCUUUGUUUCUCUCUCCCAGAAGACUCCCACCACCUCAGCAACCACCUGCCUGUUAGCCUCAGUUCCACCCACAGCCUGGACACUUCCCAGCUUAUGGAUUUCCCUACACCCCGGACCUGGAGAGAGCCCUAGCCCUGAGAUCUCAGACUUCCCUUGCUGAUUUUCUUUGAAUAAACAGUCUAACUCAGA